CGCGUAGGCGGUUUGCUAAGUUGGAUGUGAAAACUCUGGGCUUAACCCAGAGCCUGCAUCCAAAACUGGCUAACUUGAGUACUGGAGGGGAAAGCGGAAUUCCUGGUGUAGCGGUGAAAUGCGUAGAUAUCAGGAGGAACACCGGUGGCGAAGGCGGCUUUCUGGACAGUAACUGACGCUGAGGCGCGAAAGCUAGGGGAGCAAACA
rnacentral:rRNA from 1 species